rnacentral:rRNA from 1 species
GAUCCUGGCUCAGAUUGAACGCUGGCGGCAGGCUUAACACAUGCAAGUCGAGCGGGGGAAGGUUGCUUCGGUAACUGACCUAGCGGCGGACGGGUGAGUAAUGCUUAGGAAUCUGCCUAUUAGUGGGGGACAACGUUCCGAAGGAAUGCUAAUACCGCAUACGUCCUACGGGAGAAAGCAGGGGAUCUUCGGACCUUGCGCUAAUAGAUGAGCCUAAGUCGGAUUAGCUAGUUGGUGGGGUAAAGGCCUACCAAGG